CUCAUGCGGGGCUUGUCGGGGGAAGGGGCUGGCUGGAGUGCAGUGGCGUGAUCACAGCUCAACGCAGCCCCAACCUCCUGGGAUCACGCCAUUCUCCUGCCUCAGCCUCCUGAGUAACUGGGAUUACAGAAGUACACCACCAUGCCUAGCUUGAUUUUUAUACGGGAUAAAAGGAAGAGACUGUGAAAAUUUGGAAGAUUUUGCUUUAUUCUGCUAGUUUGGUGGAGUGGGGAGUGCUACAUGAAUAUUUAGUAAUCUGGGCCUUGGACAAGAUGAUUAAGAAACAAUAAUACAGUAACCUGUUCAACUCCUGGAGCUGUCACUGAGCCAAGAGUGAAAAUAAAAAAAGGCAGGGGGCAGUGGCUCAUGCCUGUAAUCCCAGCAUUUUGGGAGGCUGAGUGGGGAGGAUCACUCGAGCCCAGAAGUUCAAGAUCAGCUUGGGCAACAUAAAGACACCUCAUCUCUACAAAAACAAACAAAAAAAUUAGUGGGAAUGGUGGCAGUGCCUGUAGUUCCAGGUACUCGGGAGGCUGAGGUGGGAGGAGCACCUGAGCCGAGAUGGAGGUUGCAGUGAUUUGUGAUGGUGCUAAUGCAUUCCAGCCUGAGUGAAAUAAUAAA